rnacentral:misc_RNA from 1 species
UCCGGCUUGGCGCCGGCAGUCCCUCCAGAGUUCCCAACUGAAUGAUGGCAACUGGAAGCAAGGGUUGCGCUCGUUGCCGGACUUAACCGAACAUCUCACGACACGAGCUGCCGACAGCCAUGCAGCACCUGUGCAAGCUCCCCUUGCGGGGUCGUCCCACUUUCAUGGUUCUACCACUUGCAUGUCAAGGCCAGGUAAGGUUCUUCGCGUUGCGUCGAAUUAAACCACAUGCUCCACCGCUUGUGCGGGCCCCCGUCAAUUCCUUUGAGUUUCAACCUUGCGGUCGUACUCCCCAGGCGGGGUACUUCCUGCGUUAGCGCCUGCACCCAGAGGGUCGCUCCCCCAGGCACCUAGUACCCAUCGUUUACGGCGUGGACUAC